rnacentral:sRNA from 1 species
ACACAUGCACACAUUUGUGAGAAUAGGACAGUUAUUGAGAUUUACUCAGCACUGGAGGAAAGCUUAGAAUGAAUAAAAAAGUACUUUAAAGAUUUUACAAGGUCUUACCUUUGAAGAAAUCUUCAGUUUUUCAUAGAGAAAAAUGAAAAAUACGUGUUCUAAUCAUGGUGUUCAAUAUCUUUUUUGUUUUAAAUCUUAUAAAUGUAAUAUGUGAGUCUGUGUGCUUGUAUGUAAUCUGUGAUGUUUGUGUGUUUAUGUAGAAAGCAAAGAGAUGCUGAUGAUAAUUGAAUAAUGUAUCGAUUAAAUCUGAAAGAAUCC